UCAGACUCCACGCCCGUGGGAGUAGUGAGAGGCAUAGGAUGGGACAGAAGGAGAUGCUAAACAGUGAUGCAGAAGCAGCGAAGACCUCCGCAAUCCUGCAGGGAAGCUUGGGAGCUGGUACGGCCCUGCAGAGAUGCACUGAGGUUACAAAAUGACUCUGGUUUCCAUCUUGCUCACCCUGAGGGAAGCCAAGCUGCCAUGUUGUAAGCUGCCCUAUGAAGGGACCCACAUGGCAAAGAAUGGAGAAUGACCCCAGCCAGCCAAGAACUCUCAGCCUACCGGCCCAUGAGGAACUGAAUCCUGCCAACAGCGAUGUGAGUGAACUUGGAAGUGGAUCCUUCUCCAGUGGCACCAUCAGCAAGAAGGCCCUCACCAGAUGCAGGCCUCUCAACCUUGGACUUUCCAGCCUCCAGAAUUGUAAGAAAUAAAUCUCUAUUCUUUAUAAAUUACCUAGUCUCUGGCAUUCUGUUACAGCAGCACAAAAUGAAUUAAGACAGUAGGAAAGAUCAUUGACACUGUUACAGACCUCUAAGGCAUGAUGAAAAAGCAAAUAUGCCCAUGUUUAUGCAAAUAGCAGAGUCAGUUAAAGAGGCCAUAACAUUGAUCAUAUGGGACUUCAAUAGCCCUGAAAUGGAUUAGAACAAGAAUUAUGGGAUGGUAAGGAGAGGCCACAGAGCUAGCAGUGAUCAGAAGCUCUUUUCCAGGAGACUUUGUUGAGCAAUCAAAAAGAUCAUGGGCUAUUGGGGGCAGCUAUCUGAAAAGUUGAAUGCAAUGAAGGAUGAAGGAUGGGGCUAAAA
rnacentral:lncRNA from 1 species